rnacentral:rRNA from 1 species
AUUGAACGCUGGCGGCAGGCCUAAUACAUGCAAGUCGAACGAGUGGCGGACGGGUGAGUAAUGUCUGGGAAACUGCCCGAUGGAGGGGGAUAACUACUGGAAACGGUAGCUAAUACCGCAUACCAUCGGAUGUGCCCAGAUGGGAUUAGCUAGUAGGUGGGGUAACGGCUCACCUAGGCGACGAUCCCUAGCUGAUCUGAGAGGAUGACGAGCCACACUGGAACGGAGACACGGUCCGGACUCCUACGGGAGGCAGCAGUGGGGAAUAUUGCACAAUGGGCGCAAGCCGGAUGCAGCCAUGCCGCUGGGAUGAAGAAGGCCUUCGGUUUGUAAAGUACUUUCAGCGAGGAGGCGUUACUCGCAGAAGAAGCACCGGCUAACUCCGUGCCAGCAGCCGCGGUAAUUC